CGUUGCUGUGUUAACGUUCUGCUCGUUGCUCCGUCUCUGUUUUACUCAUCAAGGUUUGUCGAUCUCCUCUCUGUCUACCUUCCUAUUCUACUUUCUUUAUGUACUAUCAUGUUGGCUAUCCUGCUGGUUGUUUCUGUAUGUACUAUCAUGUUAUCUUAGCCUACUAAUCGUUUGAAUAUGUUUAGCUGUCUUUCUAACAAUAGCCCGUCAAGCUAGACAUAUUUCAUAAGCAACACUUAUUAUACUAGAGAUUGACGAGUAUGAUAUAAAUAUUUUAAUUAAAUAGCUGUCAUGAUAUGGAAAAUUCAUGUAUUUCCUGUUGCUGUUCAAGAGUAUGCAUGUUAAGAGAUUCAGUUGCCAUGGUUCCCUGAGCAAGAUUCAGUUUUACAUGGAUUAUUCUAGAUAAGUUCAAGUUAUUUGUGUUGGGACACCUAAGCUAACCUUUAUACCUUUCUAUUUAGGAGAUGGCAGCAGUAUAUAAAAAAUAUAUCACUAAUUAUGUGUAGAGUUCAUUCUUGAUAGGAACAGAACUGUUAUAGCUGAUAUCAACAUGUCAAGGUGAGUUUCACCCAAUCCUUCUUCACUCCUCUCUCCCUCUCUCUCUCUCUAACUCUGCAACUCUGCAAGCUUAUGCAGUGUGCUCUGCUCUAAUGAUUUUUAAUUGUUGUAAAUAGAUAUCUCGUUUUCAUUUUCUAUGUUGAAAGGGAAUGGUAAUGCUUAUGUUUUACUAUUUGUAAAAUUAACAUAUGCCAGUUGGCUUCUUCAGGUGGCUUAUUGUUGAUUUUAUUUUCUUGUCCGCCUCUAUGAAAGUUUUGAAGGACUUGUCAAUCCAAUGGAUUCUGAUGCACAAUGUUGAAUUAGAUAUGUCUGCCAGUAUGCAGGCCAUCUUGAGUGUCUCAUCUCGAUCAAUGGGAACAAGAAAGUACACAUAUUACGAAACUGAAAUUUGACAACACUUAUUUUCGUCUAGAUGACUGCCAGUAUGCACGAUGAUGAAUUUUUGUCAGAAUAGCGUACCUAAACAAUUGGUUGUUCGUCUAGAUUAAACACCCAGCUAUAAGAAUGGGUUGAUGGCACUAAUUGACUAUUGCCGCUUCAAUGUUGUCCAAAUGCAUCAUUUUUUGCCAUUGAUUUUCCAGACGAUAUUUCAGAGGCUUCUUAUUAGUGAAUCCCAACUUCCAUACAAAGCAUGAGUGAAUUUCUUAUUUCAAAUAUUGAUAUGUUGAUUAUGGACACUAAUUGACACUGUGACCUUAAUGCUUGAUAGAAUUGCAUCAAUGAAAAGUUUUCUUGAUACUUCCUUUGCUCAAUGUAUAUCUUGGUCUGUUAUUGCGUGAUUUUGCAAAUGUAAAACUGAGGCUUUUUGGCCUUGGUAAUUUUGAUUCUUGUCAUGUUCAGGAUUCAGACGGUUCUGAAACCACAUUUAUAAUUUUUCUUGGUACUUGGGUUUGAGUUGCACAAUAAAAAAAUCGAUGAUUGUUUACUUAUGGAUGGUAAUAUAUUUAUUUUCAUUGGUUUUGAAGUUAUAAGAAGGUCACCAUGACAACUGAUAUUAAGGUUUAGUAGUUCUACUCAUUUUUAUUCUUUGAGAUACUCCUCCAAUGCAAUUUAUUUUCAUUGGUUUUGAAGUUAUAAGAAGGUCACCAUGAGAACUGAUAUUAAGGUUUAGUAGUUCUACUCAUUUUUAUUCUUUGAGAUACUCCUCCAAUGCAAUUUUGAUGCAACAUUGGAUAUUUUCACAACUUUAACCUUAUGCCACAUUUGAUUUUGUCUUAUUUCAAUGUGUUUAUUUGCCAUCUUUAUGUGCUCAGGGCCAAAAGAAUUGCUAAUCUUGCAGUUUCAAUAGACAUACAUGCUACAGCAUGGUAAAAAAUAAGGGGAGCUUUUAGACGGCCUCUAGGUUAUCGGAUGAAAUCCGGUUGAAUUUUAGGAAGGUUUAGGAGUAUCUCCCUUUUUGGUAUAAAUUUGGCUCCACGAUUGCUUAAACAAUAGUUAGAUUCUGUAACAAACCUGCUAUGAAUAAUUGCAUUGUUACUUUAGUGAAAAGUUCCCGGGCAUUCUAUGUAUUCAUCUAAACUUGGAUUAAAGUAUUCCUUUUGUUAUCCAGUCUCUCACUAAGCAUGUCAUCUUUGUUGCUGAAUUUUGCCUACAGUUUAUGUAUAUUAGACUCACAUGAUUACUUGAUGGUUGAUGUGGAUUCUACAACUUGGAAAACACAUCUAGGAUAUUCAAGUUGUGUGUGGCUCCCGGGAGAAAGCUUGCUAAUCCAUUCAACCACUUACAUGAGAAUCCAGUGCCGCAGGUGACUCAUUCAUGCAAGAACUAUUGUUAAGUUUUUCCUUUUCUCCUUCGAUUCUACAAGCCGCAAAGGAGUGAAGGGUAGAAAAUAUUCCCAUUCUCGUUGAAUUGGUGGGAUUGUCACCAAGUAAGUGCUCUAGAUGUUUCUAUUUUAGAGCAAGAAGCCAAAUCAGCUUGUUCAUUGUAAAUCUUGGAAAACUUGUUGUUUAUUAUCACUUCCAUAUCUGUUAUAAACUUUUGUUGCUGGUGUGGUACUUUUCAAUCUUG
rnacentral:lncRNA from 1 species